AAAAUAAAUAAAAAUAAAUACAUACCAAAUCCAGGAUCAAAAAAUAAAAUACGAUAACUCACAUAGCGCCAUAAAGAAGAGAUUCUUGAUUAAUCUUGUGGAAGCUGGAAGUCCGGUUAUGAUCUGAAAGUCACGAACCGAACUUGGGUGAUUUGGUUUCUCCCCCUAUCUCAGACACUCUGCCGUAUGGUGUGGAACCGAUGGUAAUUCUUCACCAGAAUGCGUAUGAGAAGGUGGCAGGACCAAUACCCCUUUAUAUAGAGUCCAGAUCGACUUCCCAUCAAAAUCUGAUUAGGAUUCUAUUUAAACUUCAAAUAAAUGGGAUAGGGAUAAAAUAUACCAUAUCAAGUAGAUCUAAAUCUGUUAGGAUUGACCUUUAUCUAUAGCAAAUCCUAAAUUAAAUAUGAUUAAUUGGGCCACAAUAUAUGAAAAUCCUAACAAUCUCCCACUUGGCUCAUAUUAAUCAUAUUCCAUUAACGGAUUUUCUAUACUCCAAUCUUUAUUGCGCAUUAUUGAAAACUUUAUGGUCAAAUACUUUAGAACUCACUUGAUCUUUAGCUUAAACUAAAAGACUACAAUGAUAGGAACUAUGGCGGUCCACCUCUUCAUAACGAAAUUUUUCUUCCAUAAUUACCGUAUUAUUUUCACCUUCUAGCCGAGUACUUUAUAUGGCACAACUUUAUGAAUGAACUUAAACUGUAUAUUCAUUCGUUAAUAGACGAAGCUUCAUGCCUAUUAAAUGGUCCAAUACAGCUGCAUUAAACUUUAACUUUAUUGGAAGAAAAUAAGUAUUACAAUUUUAUACAUCGAAAGAAUUAAUCAAACUCAUACUUUUAAUACGAUCUAUAUAUGAUCCAGGUGCCGGCCCCUAGGUCAUUGGGUUUGCAAUCAUACACUUGGUACUGAUAUACUCAAUUGCAACAUAACCUUCAUCUAUCAUCUCUCUCACAACAAGAUAUUUGGUGUCCAUGUGUUUACACCCUACUGUAAUCUUGUUGUUAUUGACAAAGGAAACCGCAGCUGAACUAUCACAGAAAAUCUUUAUUGGAUAAACACCGGAGUCCACAAUUCUUAAGUCUGUGAUAAAAUUCCUAAGCCAAAAAACUUGUGAUGUGGUAUCGUGACAUGCAAUAUGAUCCAAAGUUCCUUUCAAAUACCUCAUAACCCUUUAGCAGCCUUCCAAUGCUCAAUGCUUGGAUUACUUUAAUACCUGCCAAGUAAUCCAACGGCAAAAGCAAUAUCUGGACGUGUGCACUUCUGUGCAUACAUAAGACUACCAACUGUAGAGGCAUAGGGUAUGCUUUCCAUCUGUUCAAUUUUUUAAUUGGUUCCAGGGACACUGAAAAGUAUUAAGCUUAUCCCCUUUCUGGACAGGAGCAAUACUGGGCUUAUAUGCAAUAGCCCAAGAUCAUUACUGGUAAGCAAAAUAUCAUCAAUAUAAACUACUGAGAAAAUUAUUUUACUCCCACUAACUUUUAGAUAAAUACAUUGAUCAACAAUAUUUUCCUUAAAACCAAAAGUCAAAAUAGUUUGUUUAAAUUUUAAAUACCAUUGUCGGGAGGCUUGCUUUAGUCCAUAUAUUGAUUUCUUUAAUUUGCAUACCAAAUGCUCCUUUCCCUUUUGCGAGAAUCCUUCAGGUUGAUUCAUAUACACCUCUUCAUAGAGAUCCCCAUUUAAAAAAGCAGUUUUGACAUCCAUCUGAUAUAGCUCGAGAUCAAAAUGAGCAACCAGAGCCAUAAUAAUACGGAAAGAUUCUUUUCUAGAUAUUGGAGAGAAAGACUCUUUAUAGCCAAUGCCUUCUUUUGAGUAAAUCCUUUUGCCACAAGACGGGCCUUGUAUCUCUCUAUGUUACCUUGGAGUCCCAUUUGAUUUUUAUAAACCCAUUUGCAUUUUACGGGUUUAACUCCUUUAGGUAACUCAACAAGAUCCCAUACCUUAUUGUGGUUCAUGGAUUCAAUCUCAUCCUUCAUGGCAUUGUACCAUUCCGUAGAAUUAUUACUAUUUAUGGCUUCGGAAAAACUAAGAGGAUCAUCUAAACUCUGACCAUUCUCAUAAAGAUAGACAAUAUAAUCACUGGAUAUAGCCGGUCUUCUCUGUCUUGAGGAUCUUCUUAAAUCUAUCUGAUUAUCCACAUGUAUAUCUUGAUGUGGAUUAUUCACUUGUACAUCUUGAUGUGAAUUAUCCACUUGUACAUCUUGAUGUGAAUUAUCAAUGAUAGGUUCACAAUCAUUUUGUGGUUCCAAAACAACUUGUUGUUCUACUGGAAUAGGAACCAACAAAUCGUGAGGGACAAUAGUGGGUCUGUCAUGUACAGAAUCCGAAUGCUCUUGAAUUUCCUCAAAUUCAAUGAAUCGAGGUUCAGAGCUCCCACUAAUUGUACCAUCCUCAAUAAACCGUGCUGUUUUAGUUUCUGCAAUCUUUAUAGGAAGUGAUGGACAGUAAAACUUAUACCCUUUGGACCUUUCUGAAUAACCAAUAAAAUAUCCUGAUAUGGUUCGAGGAUCCAGUUUCUUUAUUUGUGGAUCAUACAAUUUGGCCUCAGCUUGACAACCCCAUAUAUGAAAGUGUCUUAAACUGGGUUUCCUACCUGUCCAAAGCUCAAAAGGAGUCUUAGUGACAGCCUUAGUAGGGACCCGAUUAAGAAUAUACAGGGCAGUUUUGAGUGCCUCACUCCACAAUGAUAUCGGAAGGGUAGAAUUACUGAUCAUACUCCUGAGCAUAUCAAUUAAUAUGCGGUUCCUUCUUUCAGCAAUACUAUUCUGAUCAGCUGUCCCUGGCAUGGUGUACUGUGAAAUAAUUUCGCACUGCUCCAGAAACUUAGCAAAAGGCCCAGGGAUUUGGCCUUUAUCUGUUUGUCUACCAAAAUAUUCACCACCCCUAUCUGAUAUGACUACUUUUAUCCUUUUCUCGAGUUGAUUCUCUACUUCAGUCUCAUAUGCCUUAAAGGCAUCUAAUGCUUCAGAUUUUUUCUUAAGUAAGUAGAGAUAGCCAUAUCGAGAGUAGUCAUCAGUAAAUGUGAUAAAAUAUUUAUGGUCAGUAAUUGAAAUAGGAAGAGAUUCUCAUAUAUCGGUAUGAAUCAACUCUAAUGUUCCAUCACAUCUUUUAGCACCUUUAGAGGAAGUUUUGGUCUGCUUUCCCUUUAUACAGUCCACACAUAUUCCAAAGUCAGAGAAGUCCAAAUCAUCUAAAAUGCCUUCUCUAAUUAACUUUUGGAUUAUCUGUUUCGAGAUGUGUCCUAACCUCUUAUGUCAUAACAUGGAUGACAUUUCAUUAUUAAUGCCACGUUUUGAUCCAACAUUGCCGUGCAUGGUAAGAAGGAUUUCACUAUAUGAAUCAUCCAAAAACAAUUUAUAUAAAUUAUUUUUCAAAAUACCAGAGCCAACUAUCUGAGACUUAUAGGAUAAAGAAAAAACUUUAUUAUUAAAACUGAAACUAUAUCCAAAUCCAAUAAGUUUCGAAAUAGAAAUUAAAUUCUUAGAAGAAUUUGGAACAUAAAAUGUAUCAACUAAAUUCAAAAUGUGACCAGUAAAAAGAACAAAUCUAAAUGUUCCUACAAAUUCUACUUUAGUUGGAUUUUCUUCAGCUGUAUAGAUAGUCGCUUCAUCUUUACUGGGUUUUCUUCGAUUCUGAAAUCCCUGCACGGAAUUCGCCACGUGGCAUGUGGCACCAGAGUCAAUCCACCAAGUAUUAGACGGAACUGAAACUAAAUGCAACCCAUGCAUCAAAACCAGAAAUUUAUCUUUCUUUUGGAGCCAUUUCUGAUACUUUUGGCAGUCUUUUUCAUAUGACCAUUUUUCUUACAAAAGAAGCACUUGGGAAUCCAAUUACUUGAUUAGCCCUGUGAACCAGAUGGAACUUCCUUGUUCUUCCUUUUUGAGUCAUUCUUGCCCUUGCCAUUCUUAGCACGUUUUAUUUGUCUCUUCUGAGAAACAAAGUUGACUGCAUUUUGUUUCUCUUGUAUUAAUCUGCCUUCCUCUUGCACACACAUGGUCAGCAAUUCAUUAAUUGACCAUUUAUCUUUAUGUGUGUUAUAAGAGAUCUGAAAUGGUCCGUAUUCAGAUGGCAAAGAGUUCAAAAUAAAGUGCACUAAGAAUGAAUCAGAGAUGGUUACUUCAAGUGCGGUGAGUUGCGCUGCAAUAUCUCGCAUUUCCAUAAUAUGCUCGCGAAUCGAGCCAUUUCCGGAGUACUUCAUGGAAGACAGUUUAUUCAUUAAGGUGCUCGCCAAGGCUUUAUCGGAGCUGACAAACUGCUCCUCAAUAGCCUUUAGAUAAUCCUUGGCUUUAUCACAUUCUGGGAUUGAUCCCCUUAUGCUUUUUGAUACCCUUGACUUUAUGAGCAUCAAACUUAAGCGGUUGGAUCGCUCCCACUUUUCCUGCGCGAAUUCCUGCUGUGGAGUCAUUGGCCCCACUACCUUAGGCGGUUGUUCAGCGCGCAGAGCCAAAUCUAAAUCCAUAUAGCCCAAAAUGAACAUAAUCUGUUCUUUCCACUCCGAAUAAUUAGAACCAUUAAGUAUAGGAACAGAUUCACCAAUAGGAACAGAAAAUGGAGUCAUAGCUGAAAAAUAAAAUGCAUGCUUUAUCAAUAAAAUACCACAUCAUAAAUUACCACACCAAAAUUAGAAAAAUACACUUUAUAUGACAUCACAACCCCUCCUUUGGGAGCAGAGUUAUGAGCAUAAGUAUUUUUCAUUCUUUAUGCAUAUACUUUAUAUGACAUCACAACCCCUCCUUUGGGAGCAGAGUUAUGAGCAUAAAUAUGCAAUCAUUCCUUAUGCAUAUACUUUAUAUGACAUCACAACCCCUCCUUUGGGAGCAGAGUUAUGAGCAUAAGUAUUUUUCAUUCUUUAUGCAUAUACUUUAUAUGACAUCACAACCCCUCCUUUGGGAGCAGAGUUAUGAGCAUAAAUAUGCAAUCAUUCCUUAUGCAUAUACUUUAUAUGACAUCACAACCCCUCCUUUGGGAGCAGAGUUAUGAGCAUAAGUAUUUUUCAUUCUUUAUGCAUAUACUUUAUAUGACAUCACAACCCCUCCUUUGGGAGCAGAGUUAUGAGCAUAAAUAUGCAAUCAUUCCUUAUGCAUAUACUUUAUAUGACAUCACAACCCCUCCUUUGGGAGCAGAGUUAUGAGCAUAAAUAUGCAAUCUCUUUAUCAGAGAUUAAUUUAAACUUUCUGUAGGUCGUGAUAAUUUCAAAAUUCCCAUAUGAAGAAAUUGUCAGCUUUGGCCAGGCAAAUUUCUCCAAACGAGUUACAAGAAAAUUACCAUCCUACACCACCCAUUUACCUUCAUGUCUAGACCUCCUUUGGGAGCAGACUAAACAUAAUAUCAUGGUGCAAUUUUCGCAUGCACUUCUUUAAAGCAAUCAAUUUAUCUUUUCUUCCGAUCGGGGCCGCUUUGGCUUGCACCCGAACAGUUGAAGCAACAAAUUAAUCUGACUUAGUGCUGCAUGAUUAACAUGAGAAUUAUCCGGAAACGCUACUUUAAAGUAAAUUAAAUCAUCAUUUCUUUUAAUUAGGGCCGCUUUGGCUUGCACCUAACUAAUCGAAAUAAUAAAUUAAUUCAACUUAGCGCCAAAUAUUAAAUAAUCGAAAACAAAUAUGAUUAUUUAAUUUCAUGUUCAUCCGGUCAAAAUAAGAAUAUAGAUACGAUAAUUUAAAACAUAAUUACGCAAUCAAAUUUAAACUUUAUAUAUUCUUAUUUGACCACAAAACAUAAGAUAAAUAAAUUUAUGAUAAAUUAAUAUUAUAUACAAAAUCAAAACUUUAUGUGAAUAAAUUUUGAACAUUCACAGUACUGUAUGGAGCAUAACUUUAUGACGAGUAAAAGAAAAUUUGGGCAUAGAUCAAUAAUGGGCUGACUUAAACUCAGCUAUACUUUUCUAAAGAUGGUCCGAUCGAACUAUAUAACUAAACACCAAGAGUUUAAUAAAAGAAACCAAGAUUAGUAACAAAUCUAAUCUUUAGCUGAAAAUAAUUAAGAUAAAUUUAAUAAUAAACUCAUAUUUGAAACAAUUUCAAAUUAAAUUGUGUUGUCUUAAUUCGUUAAGUGGAAUGAGUUCAACCAAAAAUAUGUUCAUCUUCUUCAUUAACUUCAAUGAGGAUUUUAAUUAAGCAAAGAUGCGGCCGCCUCAAAUACGCUAGGCACUGUGCAUCUCAUGCGGCCAAGAUUAAUGUGCGGAUAACCCCAUGCGAGACUCGAUUGCUCACGGCAUCAUCGCGUUAAUUAAAAUCCGAUGUUCAUCCGAACCGGAAUCUCGCAGUUACACGCCGCAUAGAGUCGGAUUGUCGUUCAAAACGACCUUCCAUGCGACCAAAAGUCGCCAAGAUGCAAACGCCAAAAAUUGUUGCAAUCUCGCGGCGGCAAGAACUUCAAAGCGAGUCUUAGGAUUAAUUAAAAUCAUUAAGAUGAUGAUGAACAGCAAUAUUAUAAAAUAAUGUUGCAAUUCAAAGCGCCCAAAUUAUAUCCGUCCACUUGUUCAAUGCUCCAAGAGAAAAUUUUGCAUAUAAUAUAUAAUUUAUCGUUAUUGGCUCUGAUACCAAUUGAUGGAAUCUCAAGGUAUGCAAAAUAAAUAAAAAUAAAUACAUACCAAAUCCAGGAUCAAAGAAUAAAAAUACGAUAACUCACAGAGCGCCAUAAAGAAGAGAUUCUUGCUUAAUCUUGCGGAAGCUGGAAGUCCGGCUACGAUCUGAAAGUCACGAACCGAACUUGGGUGAUUUGGUUUCUCCCCCUACCUCAGGCACUCUGCCGUAUGGUGUGGAACUGAUGGUAAUUCUUCACCAGAAUGCGUAUGAGAAGGUGGCAGGACCAAUACCCCUUUAUAUAGAGUCCAGAUCGACUUUCCAUCAAAGUCUGAUUAGGAUUCUAUUUAAACUUCAAAUAGAUGGGAUAGGGAUAAAAUAUACCACAUCAAGUAGAUCUAAAUCUGUUAGGAUUGACCUUUAUUUAUAGCAAAUCCUAAAUUAAAUAUGAUUAAUUGGGCCACAAUAUAUGAAAAUCCUAACAAUAAUUCCUUAUCCCAUCUCUAUUCCUUAUACCCAAACAAAAAAAA
rnacentral:lncRNA from 1 species